rnacentral:tRNA from 1 species
GGGGUUGUGGCUCAGCGGUAGAGCACUCACCUAGCAAGUGUUAAGGCCCUGGGUUCGAUCCUCAGCACCA